ACAUACGUGACAAUUGAAAUUUUCGUAUUGCCCAUUAAAGUACAGAAUAAGUGUUAUUAACUACACAAAAUUAUUUAGAGGCCUCCAUUCUGCAUAUAAAUGAACAAGUGUUUAAUAAAUUGUUUUCGUGGGAUUCAAUGAAAACAAUUUAAUUUAAAAAUCACACAAUAUUCUAUAAAUUUCACGGAAUAUAAAAUAUACACACACUAAACGAAUGUUAUUGGAAAAUUUUCACUAUUAUUCGAUGUUUUUUUAAAAAAUAUAAUAAGAUUUACAACAUUUUCAUUUAAGAAACUGUCCGAUUGUUUACCAAAGAAAGGCCUAAUUCUUAAGUUUGGAAUAAACGUCAGCAACUAUUCAGAGCAACAAUAAUCAAAUUAAUUGUCAUAAAACAUUGUUGACAACGAGAAAGGAAAGGAGAAAGAAACUAACGAGAUAAAAAAAUCGAAAAUGGUUUACAGCCUGAGAAAAGAAAGUUUUACUUCUAUUGAAUCUUGGGGAAAUUCAAGUGAGGAUAUUUCGAGCGAAACAGACGCAUCCUCAGAUGAAUUCUCAGACGAAUCCUUCGUUGACACUUAUGAUUCUGAUAUGGAAGUUGAUCUCGCCAUUACCGUGGAUGUUGAAGAACACGAACCUGAAAAUCUUAAUCAACUAGAAAGGAAUGGCGAAACAAACAACACCGAAACAUCAAUAAUAGAAUGCGACAACACAGAACAGAGAAGUUCAUACCAACGAUUAGUUUCAUCUCUCCAAAUAAUUUAUUCUUUCUUAAGAAAAAGAGUUCGCAGUUCAGAUGAUUUACAGCCCGAAAAACCAGCGAAAAUUCCCAAGAUUGACAUUUAAUUUUAAAAAAAUUCAUCUUUUUGAUUUUCUAAAAUAUCAU